CAGUUUUAUUCAGAAGAUAGUGAACCCAGGCUGAAGAAAGGGCACCCUCUCCUCACUUGAAGCAAAGGAAGGGUCCUAGGGAAGAGGGCAUGGGACUCACUCAGCCUCCACGCUUUUCUUCUGUAACAUUUUACACUGCUGAGGCAUGGAAGAGAGAGGAGGAAGGCAAGAGUCGGGCGCCUGGGACUCGGCUGUUCUUUCUGGGAAAGGAGGCAGAUAGCUCCGAGGAAGUUAUACCCUCCACCUAAUUAGCAGAGUGAGAAGCAAAGGUAAAACCCUGCUCUGAUAAGACAAGAAACUAGAUGAAAGCCUGCCUACAGGGUAUUUUUAACCCAGAGCUCCAUUAAGCCUUGAGAUGACAGCGAAGAACUAAUCCAGCAGGAAUGCUACAUCCAGGUUUUCAGGAAGGAGCAGCUCUGUAACCCCCAAGCCUGGAGGACCAAAGGUCGGUGCCUCAGGUACUGUCUGCCCACAGACAGCGGGGCAAGGAGCCCAUUGCUCCCUGUUCUCCCUCCUGCUGCAGGACUCAAGGAAGAGCUGCAGAGAUGAGAGCUGCAAGAGAGCAAUGCCACCCACCAGGGGCAAAGCUGGGUGGCAUCUGUGCGGCUCAGAGCAGAGACCUAGAAGAGGAAUCCCACUCUUCUCCAUGCAACCAGCCAGCGCAGACAAUACUGCUGGCGGAGAGGAUCUUGGGAGGAAAAUCCCACUGAUGUCCCCCAAUAGUUGUGGGUGAUCCCAUCUUUCAGAUUCUGUGCCCUGUCCAAGGGUGAGAGUGAGGGAGGCGAUUAUCUGCCCGCUGGAGUGGUCAGUGAGUUUGUUUGUGCCCCAGAGGUGUGAGAUCUAAGAAGCCUGUUGUAUCACAACACUAGUAUCAUCGUCAUCUAUUACGGAGAAAAGGUCUGUUGGUUAUGAAAGGCUUGCUCACAAAUUGUUGUCAAGACUAACAAAAAGCAAACUUUUGAUCUAAGGAAGACAUUUGUGAGGAAUAUAGCAGAUGUUCACCAGUGAAUGGCAACAUUGUACAGCUGUCUGAGUAGGAAAUGAAGAAAAAUAUCAUGACCAUCUCAAAAUUUUGGGACGGGGAUGGAGAGAGAUGUGAUAAAGGCAGCAGAAAUGGAAUUGGAGUCCAGGGCCCCUCUGCAUGAUUUUACCACCUCCUCUCCUCGGUAUGACUUUUGAUGCCUUGAUUUCAGAUAAUACUUGAACUACAGAACUUACCAACAUCUUCUACGUGCUAAAGUAAAUCCUUGACAUGAA